rnacentral:rRNA from 1 species
AUCGAUGGCCAUACCUCCCUGAACGAGCCUGAUCUCCUGUCUGAUCUCAGAAGCUAAGCAGGGUCAGUUAUUACUUGGAUAGGAGAAUUCUGAAUUUGCUCCUAGUGUGGAGAAAAGAACACAGGUU